rnacentral:rRNA from 1 species
UACGUAGGGUGCGAGCGUUAAUCGGAAUUACUGGGCGUAAAGCGUGCGCAGGCGGUUCGUUGUGUCGGCGGUGAAAGCCCCGGGCUUAACCUGGGAAUGGCCGUUGAAACUGGCGAACUGGAGUGUGGCAGAGGGGGGUGGAAUUCCGCGUGUAGCAGUGAAAUGCGCAGAUAUCAGGAGGAACACCGGUGGCGAAGGCGGGUCUCUGGGCCGUUACUGACGCUGAGGAGCGAAAGCGUGGGGAGCGAACAGG